GUGGGGAAUUUUGGACAAUGGGCGCAAGCCUGAUCCAGCAAUGCCGCGUGCAGGAAGAAGGCCUUCGGGUUGUAAACUGCUUUUGUACGGAAUGAAACGGUCCGGGUUAAUACCCUGGGCUAAUGACGGUACCGUAAGAAUAAGCACCGGCUAACUACGUGCCAGCAGCCGCGGUAAUACGUAGGGUGCAAGCGUUAAUCGGAAUUACUGGGCGUAAAGCGUGCGCAGGCGGUUUUGUAAGACAGGCGUGAAAUCCCCGGGCUCAACCUGGGAAUUGCGCUUGUGACUGCAAGGCUGGAGUGCGGCAGAGGGGGAUGGAAUUCCGCGUGUAGCAGUGAAAUGCGUAGAUAUGCGGAGGAACACCGAUGGCGAAGGCAAUCCCCUGGACCUGUACUGACGCUCAUGCACGAAAGCGUGGGGAGCAAACAGGAUUAGAUACCCUAGUAGUCC
rnacentral:rRNA from 1 species